CCCGCUAGUCGCUACCAAUGCCUGGGUAGGUUUGUUAAAGUUUCUGUGAAGUAGAAGAAUACAUGGAUUGGACUGACGGAAAUGAGAGGCAUUAGGAAACAAAUUAGCACAGUAAGACUCUGGAAGGCGAAUCGGUCUAGAAGCUCAGCUCGCAGCACUGACUGACGAGACUAAGCUUAUAGAUUGAGUCUCGGGACGCCUGCAUGCUGAUCUUGUAAGUUUGGCGUAGGGGCCAGUAUAGUGUCGAAAGCUACAACAUCAUCCUAGCAGCCGGCGCACUCAUCCCGUC
rnacentral:lncRNA from 1 species